GCAUGGAUAGCUCAGUGGCAGAGCGGUGGGGCAUUGACCCAUAUGCUCCGGAUUGAACCCCGGUCAAUGCA